UACAGAGGUGGCAAGCGUUGUUCGGAAUUACUGGGCGUAAAGGGCGCGUAGGCGGCCAUCUAAGUCAGACGUGAAAUCCCCCGGCUUAACCUGGGAACUGCGUCUGAUACUGGAUGGCUUGAGUUCGGGAGAGGGAUGCGGAAUUCCAGGUGUAGCGGUGAAAUGCGUAGAUAUCUGGAGGAACACCGGUGGCGAAGGCGGCAUCCUGGACCGGCAUUGACGCUGAGGAGCGAAAGCCAGGGGAGCAAACGGG
rnacentral:rRNA from 1 species